AUGCUAGUCGCACGAGUUCAGACUCGUGGCGAAUAGCUCAGUAACACGUGGCCAAACUACCCUUCGGAACACAAUACCCUCGGGAAACUGAGGCUAAUAGUGUAUACCAUACCACCACUGGAAUGAGUGGUAUGCUAAACGCUCCGGCGCCGAAGGAUGUGGCUGCGGCCGAUUAGGUAGACGGUGGGGUAACGGCCCACCGUGCCAAUAAUCGGUAUGGGUCAUGAGAGUGAGAACCCAGAGACGGAAUCUGAGACAAGAUUCCGGGCCCUACGGGGCGCAGCAGGCGCGAAACCUUUACACUGCACGACAGUGCGAUAGGGGGAUCCCAAGUGCACAGGCAUAGCGCCUGUGCUUUUCGGUACCCUAAGGCGGUACCAGAAUAAGGGCUGGGCAAGACCGGUGCCAGCCGCCGCGGUAAUACCGGCAGCCCAAGUGAUGGCCGAUCUUAUUGGGCCUAAAGCGUCCGUAGCUGGCCGCGCAAGUCCAUCGGGAAAUCCACCUGCUCAACAGGUGGGCGCCC
rnacentral:rRNA from 2 species